CAAUAGCGUAUAUUUAAGUUGUUGCAGUUAAAAAGCUCGUAGUUGGAUUUCGGGUGGGACGCAGCGGUCUCGCAUUGCGUUUGUACUGCUGCAGCCCUCCUUCUUGCCGGGGGCGGCCUCUCGGACUUCACUGUCUGGGGGUCAGAAUCGGCGAUGUUACUUUGAGUAAAUUAGAGUGUUCAAAGCAAGCUUACGCUCUGAAUAUAAUAGCAUGGGAUAACACGACAGGACUCUGGCCUAUCGUGUUGGUCUAUAGGACCAGAGUACUGAUUAAGAGGGACAGUCGGGGGCAUUCGUAUUCCGUUGUCAGAGGUGAAAUUCUUGGAUUUACGGAAGACGAACAUCUGCGAAAGCAUUUGCCAAGGAUGUUUUCAUUGA
rnacentral:rRNA from 1 species